rnacentral:rRNA from 1 species
AAACUGGAGAGUUUGAUCCUGGCUCAGAUUGAACGCUGGCGGUAGGCUUAACACAUGCAAGUCGAACGGUAACAGGCAAGAGCUUGCUUUUGCGCUGACGAGUGGCGGACGGGUGAGUAACACGUAGGAAUCUGCCUUAUGGUGGGGGAUAACCCGGGGAAACCCGGACUAAUACCGCAUGAGCCCCAAGGGGGAAAGCGGGGGACCUUUUCGGAGGCCUCGUGCCAUUAGAUGAGCCUGCGUCGGAUUAGCUUGUUGGUGAGGUAAUGGCUCACCAAGGCGACGAUCCGUAGUUGGUCUGAGAGGAUGACCAGCCACACUGGGACUGAGACACGGCCCAGACUCCUACGGGAGGCAGCAGUGGGGAAUAUUGGACAAUGGGGGCAACCCUGAUCCAGCAAUGCC